CAGCAGUAGGGAAUCUUCGGCAAUGGGGGGAACCCUGACCGAGCAACGCCGCGUGAGUGAAGAAGGUUUUCGGAUCGUAAAGCUCUGUUGUUAAGGAAGAACGAGUGUGAGAAUGGAAAGUUCAUACUGUGACGGUACUUAACCAGAAAGGGACGGCUAACUACGUGCCAGCAGCCGCGGUAAUACGUAGGUCCCGAGCGUUGUCCGGAUUUAUUGGGCGUAAAGCGAGCGCAGGCGGUUAGAUAAGUCUGAAGUUAAAGGCAGUGGCUCAACCAUUGUAGGCUUUGGAAACUGUUUAACUUGAGUGCAGAAGGGGAGAGUGGAAUUCCAUGUGUAGCGGUGAAAUGCGUAGAUAUAUGGAGGAACACCGGUGGCGAAAGCGGCUCUCUGGUCUGUAACUGACGCUGAGGCUCGAAAGCGUGGGGAGCGAACAGGAUUAGAUACCCUGGUAGUCCACGCCGUAAACGAUGAGUGCUAGGUGUUAGGUCCUUUCCGGGACUUAGUGCCGCAGCUAACGCAUUAAGCACUCCGCCUGGGGAGUACGACCGCAAGGUUGAAACUCAAAGGAAUUGACGGGGGCCCGCACAAG
rnacentral:rRNA from 1 species